GCAAUGGCUUUCCGGUCCACCUUUUGGCUGGUACUGGGCAAGCUGUUGCUCACCUUCUGGUAAUUAUGCAUGCCCUUAAUUGGGUGUGUAUAGGAACCAGGACUUUUACCUUGAAAAAAUUAGAGUGUUCAAAGCAGGCCUACGCCUGAAUACAUUAGCAUGGAAUAAUGGAAUAGGACAUGGGUUCUAUUUUGUUGGUUUCUAGGACCUUUGUA
rnacentral:rRNA from 1 species